AGGGCAGACGGUGGAUGCCUUGGCUCUCGGAGGCGACGAAGGACGUGAUAAGCUGCGAAAAGCCCGGGGGAGGCGCAAAUAGCCCUUGAUCCCGGGAUAUCCGAAUGGGGCAACCCGGCAGGUUGAAGGCCUGUCAUCCCGAAAGGGAGGCGAACGUGGGGAACUGAAACAUCUAAGUACCCAUAGGAGGAGAAAAUAAACAAUGAUUCCGUAAGUAGUGGCGAGCGAACACGGAAGAGCCCAAACCCAUGUCGUCUAGGCGACACGGGGGUUGUAGGACCACGACGUGGCAAGAUAGAGUCAAGUGGAACGCCUUGGAAAGGGCGACCGUAGAGGGUGAUAGUCCCGUAGAUAUAUUCUCUUUUUGAGGUUUUGUGUAUGAUUUUUUCUUGAGUAGGAUCCGUUGGAUAUCGGGUUUGAAUGUGGGAGGCAUCAACUUCCAAUUCUAAAUACGUCUCAAGACCGAUAGAGUAUUAGUACCGUGAGGGAAUGCUGAAAAGUACCCCUAUAGGGGGGUGAAAAGUACCUGAAACCAGAUAGUGACAGCCAGAUGUGGCGCGUAAGGAAUGAAUUCUUCCGAAAGAAUCAGUGGUAACAUUGUAGUAUGAGGAGGUUGGACUAGUGUUGCAUCGUCCGUCUUGAAACACGGGCCAGGGAGUUCUUUGUUGUGGUGAGGCUAAAAGGUUUUUAUCCUUGUAGUCGUAGGGAAACCGAUAUGCCCGCAGCGUUGUUGAGGGGCAAGGUCUUAAUAGGGCCUGGAAUCACAGCAUUGAAACCCGAAGCCGGUCGAUCUAUUCCUGAGCAGGAUGAAGUCGCUCUUACGAGCGAUGGAGGUUCGCAGGGUUGUUGUUCUGCAAAACACUCUUUUGACUUGGGAAUAGUGGUGAAAGGCCAAUCAAGGCCGGCGACAGCUGGUUCCACUCGAAAUGACUCUAAGGUCAGCCUGACUGGAGGUUGGUGGCGGGGUAGAGCACUAAUUGGACGUUUAGGGAGGGAAACUUCUCGGCGUACUGUAAAACUCCGAACUCGUCACCGUCGUAGAAGGUUGGAGUGAGGGGCGCGGGGUAAGCUUGUGUCCCGAAAGAGAAACAACUCAGACUAUGGUUAAGGCCCCUAAAUACUGGAUAAGUGUAAGGGAGUCUUUGGCCCAAGACAAUGGGAAGGUGGGCUUAGAAGCAGCCACCCUUUAACGAGUUCGUAACAGAUCACCCAUCGAGGUCAGAGGCACCUAAAAUGGACGGGAAUUAAUCCAGUUGCCGAUACCAUGGAACACCUUUUUUUUGGUGAUUGUGUAGAGUGGCGACCUGUGUGGGUUGAAGAGGGGGCGUGAGUUCCUUUGGACCUUGCAGGUAUGUGGAUCCUGGUAGUAGUAGCAGCAAAGUGAGGUGAGAAUCCUUACCGCCGGAGGGGCUAGGGUUCCUUGGCAAUGUUCGUCAGCCAAGGGUUAGUCGAUCCUAAGGUCAGUCAUAAGUUGAGCUGGUCGAAAGGGAAGCAGGUUAAUAUUCCUGUACAUAGUAAAUUUGCGGUGACGUUGAGGGCUAAUUUCUGACACUUCGAGAUAUGUUUUGUAGGAUUGUCGUCCUAUUUACGUGUUUAAGCCUGGGGAGAGGUGUAAUAGCGAGAACCAGGUGUAGGCAUUAUGAGCUGGUCGUUUUUGUACUGGUUUAACUGAUUCAUGGAGUCCUUGAAAAGGGAGUUAGUUUUGUAUUUUACUAUUUCGUACCGAGAUCCGUCACAGGUGCCCCUAGCUGAGUAGGCUAAGGCGUUUUAAGGUAAACUAGCUAAGGGAAAUCGGCAAAAUGGCCCCGUAACUUUGGAAGAAGGGGUGCCAGCUAUGUGAAUAGCUGGUCUCAGUGACUAGGGGGGCCCGACUGUUUAAUAAAAACAUAGCUCUCUGCUAGCCCGUAAGGGUGUGUACAGAGGGCGACACCUGCCCAGUGCUGGCACGUGAAGCUGGAGUUCAGUUCAGUGAAGCGCCAGUAAACGGCGGGGGUAACUAUAACCCUCUUAAGGUAGCGAAAUGCCUUGUCGGACAAGUACCGACCUGCAUGAAUGGUAGAACGAGGUCCCCACUGUCCCUAGCUAGAACUUAGUGAACCUGCUAUUCUGGUGCACAAGCCAGAGUCUUCCAUUGGGAAGCGAAGACCCCGUAGAGUUUUACUGCAGUCUGUCGUUGAAGCUUGGUUAUAGGUAUGCAGUGUAAGUGGGAGAAUUCGAUUAUAAGUCGCCAGGUUUAUAUGAUUCGUUCUUGAGACACCACUUUCUUAUGACUGUGUUUCUAACUUACUUUGUGUGAGGACAUCGGUAGAUGGGCAGUUCGGCUGGGGCGGCACGGGCUUGAAAUGGUAUCAAGCCCGCCCAAAGGUCAACUCAGGUGGGACAGAGAUCCACCGUAGAGUGUAAGGGCAAAAGUUGGCCUGACUGUAUUUCGAUCAGCAAGAAAUCCAGAGGCGAAAGCCGGGCCUAGCGAACCUC
rnacentral:rRNA from 1 species